CUGCGGAAGGAUCAUUAUUGAAAUUAUUGGCGAGGGUUGAAGCUGGCCUCUCGGGGCAACGUGCACGCCCGAGCCCUUAAUCCACAUACACCUGUGAACCUAAUGUAGGGGCCCGUUAAAAAAGGUCCCUAUGUCUUAUACACCCCUUUGUAUGUCUCUGAAUGUAAAAUCUUAGUCUUCGGACGGAAUCUUAUAUAACUUUCAACAACGGAUCUCUUGGCUCUCGCAUCGAUGAAGAACGCAGCGAAAUGCGAUAAGUAAUGUGAAUUGCAGAUUUUCAGUGAAUCAUCGAAUCUUUGAACGCACCUUGCGCUCCUUGGUAUUCCGAGGAGCAUGCCUGUUUGAGUGUCAUUAAAUUCUCAACCUUGAGUU
rnacentral:misc_RNA from 1 species